UUGGCAUCCAGAGAAUCACUGAAGAAAAUAAUGGACCUACUCAUGCUGGGUUGUCCUGUUCUGGAGUGAUGGACAUGCAAAUGAAGUAGUCACAGAUGAAGACUAGCUGAGAAUUGAACCCAUGGCAUUGCACAUGCUAGACCAUUUGAAAGCUGGGGCUGUUGAUAGUACCAAAGCCUUCAUUUCCUCACAAGAACAUGGCUGCCAAUCUGGGAAGAAUACUGCAUUUUAUUCUUUAUCUACCCUGAGUUCCACAGAUAAAACAGCUGUUUGUGAGACUUGGGUGCUGACGGAGCACAUUAAUUACUGUCAUCGGGAUUUGGAUCCACUGGAGAGCUGCUGGAAGCCCUG